rnacentral:rRNA from 2 species
AAAUUGAAGAGUUUGAUCAUGGCUCAGAUUGAACGCUGGCGGCAGGCCUAACACAUGCAAGUCGAACGGUAACAGGAAGCAGCUUGCUGCUUCGCUGACGAGUGGCGGACGGGUGAGUAAUGUCUGGGAAACUGCCUGAUGGAGGGGGAUAACUACCGGAAACGGUGGCUAAUACCGCAUAACGUCGCAAGACCAAAGAGGGGGACCUUCGGGCCUCUUGCCAUCAGAUGUGCCCAGAUGGGAUUAGCUUGUUGGUGAGGUAACGGCUCACCAAGGCGACGAUCCCUAGCUGGUCUGAGAGGAUGACCAGCCACACUGGAACUGAGACACGGUCCAGACUCCUACGGGAGGCAGCAGUGGGGAAUAUUGCACAAUGGGCGCAAGCCUGAUGCAGCCAUGCCGCGUGUAUGAAGAAGGCCUUCGGGUUGUAAAGUACUUUCAGCGGGGAGGAAGGUGUUG